UUGGCAUGUACUAACCUCAUUAAGUCUACACACUUAGUAUAGAAGUUAGUACUAGGGUUUCAUCAAUUAUCCAAAACCAAACUAGCGCUUUCAGCAGCCAUGGACAACGCCCCAUCCACGCCGCCACCCUCGCUUCCUCCCCAUCCACGGCAUGCGCUCCAAUUGUGUCGGUGCCCUAGCCCUAUGGGGCGCACCUCCACCUGCAGCAGCUCCACCAACCGGCGGCCCGGCGCCCAGAUCCAGAUGGGAGGACGUCGACGCCGCGUAUUCGUAGGCGAGGCACAGGCGGAGGGAGAGGUAGUGGUUCGCUUCCCGUCCCGACCCUGCACUGCCACAGCUCGGGUACGUCUCAUCCCACCAUCGCCCCCACCCCAGAGGCGAGUUCUGCAGGCCUACGAUCGUGCUGCAACCCAGGCCGGGGCUGAGCUUGUCCGUCCAAGCCAUGCUUUCGCCUCCAAGUCUGCAUAUCUUGAGCUCCUCCAGAACGCCAGUGCUCCCAUCUGAAGGUGAGCCCCUACUGCUAUUUCUCAGAUCUGCUAGGCAUUUUUUUUUCUCAAAUACAUAGAUCUGCUAGGGAUGAAUCGAUACAUGCAUUGAACUUUAUUGUUGAAUAGUUGGAGCACUGCCAUAUGCAAGUUGAAACUCUAUACACAUCGAUUUCAACGAAAUUGGAAUUUUUCAGAAGCAGAUCUAGUGCUUAGCUUGUGACUGGGACGGUAGGCCAAAGUGGCACAGGAUGGAUUUCACAAGGUAAUGCUUGUAUUAUCUCCACAAGGUAAUUAUCUGAAGGGACUGCGAUUAUUUUCUUCUAUUUUAGUUUCCAUAAUCUUGAUUCUGCAACCUUUAGAUUAAGUUUGGUUUGUUCAGAUUGAGAUAUAGAGGAUAGAUUUGGUUAAUCAAAUAAAAAAUCAGGAUUCAUCUUGGUUGAGAUCUUGCUCAAUGUUUAGAGUAAAUUGUGAAUGCACAAUGACUUUAGAGUAAAAUGUGAAUGCACAAUAUUCAGAGAAAUAAACAAUGCAGUGUCCUUCGUAGGUUCAUUUUGGUGUUUUAUUAGGUUUUAAAUUUAAACUUCCAGGUUGCUAAAUUUUCUCAUUGGUAACAUAAGGAAAAUGGUGUACUAGUUCAAGAUUUGUUGUAUCAAAUUUUCUCAUAGCUGUCAUCUCUUUUCUAUUAUUAAGUACUGCAUCAAUUUUUCUACAGUCAGUCAUUGUUAUCUGGUAUAUUUUGAUCACGAGAUAGGAGCCUGCACAUAUAUACUUGGUGAUUUAGUACUAAAGCUCAUUGCAAAUUUAUUAUCAAAACAUUUUCUGUGAAAAAUGCACAUACUCUAUUUCUUCACAUCUGAGAAGUGACUGAAAUUGUCUACAUUGUGUUGGUACAUGCUGAUGCCUUCAUUUUUUUUCAAUUCAGAACUAAUAUAGGUAGUAUGACACAUUCUAAAAAUAUCACCUUGCAGAUUCAUAACCAAUAUAUGUAUAUGACAUGUCGAACCAAAUAGUUGAUCUAAUAAAAUUUAUUUUAUUUUAUUGCAGCAAAUUCAAAGCUGUGGGCACCUUGCAAACUCAUCCUUUUGCUGCUUCAUUUCAAGUUUAGACCAACUUCUGUAGAGAACUUUUAGCACAGUUAACUAGAAGUCAUAUUGAGGUGUCAUUCAUUUGGAGUUCUCAUUUAGACUUUUGUGUAGUAUUCAUUUUUUCAUUCUAAUGCCAAUCUUUUGUGCAGUAUUCUUUUUUUCAUUCUAAUGCCAAUAACUUGAUGGAUGGAUCUGAACUGUAUGUACAAAUCAUACAGCUGAGGUUGUAAUUCAGAAUGAGGUCUGCUGCUGUAUUUUUUUUUUAACUUUCUGUAGUUGGUUUCCUGACGGCAUAACCGUCAGGAUUUGGCCAAUAUUUUAGUCCAGGGCUAUUCUUAGGUUGGCCGUCAGGAACUGCCGUCAGGAAAAGAUUCCUAACGGUCAACCGCCAAGAAAAAGUGAUAUUUCCUGUUGAGUCGUUCCUGUCGGUUUAUUCCUGACGGCAGGCCGACAGGAAUAUGUUUUCUGACAGUUUUAAUGCUUUUCCUGACGGUUUCUAGCCGACAGGAAUUUCCGCUGCUCUGGUAGUGUAUUGUCUCUUAUUCCACCUCAUGGCGCUCCUUGGUGACAUUGAACUAUGCACUACACUUGCAUCCUUGCCAUCGACUCCUCUUAACUUUUUCCUCUUGCUUUCUCCUCCUAAAAAACUAAAGGGCCAAAUAAGUGACCGGAUGGAAGAUGUGGGAGGGGUUUGAAUGACAAGGGCGUAGAUAUGGUGCGUGAGCUCAAUGCCAUCAAGGAGUGCCGGGAGGUGGAGUGAGAGAUAGGCUGUCGCAUGCUACUUGUCGGGCCGUGGGUUGUUAUGAACGAUGUAUAGUAAUAUGAAGUAAACGAAAAUCAAUCACAGCGAAGACACAUGAUUUACGUGGAAAACCCCUUCAAUGUGAAGGGGAAAAACCACGGCCUAUGGCGGCUUACAAGAGAAUCAAGUCUCCAUAAAACCCUAGCAACGGGCCUCUGCUUCGCUCCGUCAGAAGCCCGACCAAUAUCCUGAAGUGAAUUUGGAACAACUCCAUAGAGAGGGAGGGAACAUAUGGGUGUGCUUGCAAGCAUAGGUACAUAUCCCACACACGUCUACAAAACUACCUUCAAAACUGCCAUGGAGGGUUAUUUAUAUGGUUUUUAUUAAUUUAAAGGGUAGAAUAACUACUCCCUAUGUCCCCGAAAGCUUCAACUCCUAGAAUCCGUGCCAGUCAAACUUUUUUUUAACUUUGACCAACUUUAUAGAAAAGAGUAUCAAUAUCUAUGACAUAAAUAAGUAUAUUUCAAAAAUAUAUUCUAUAAUAAAUUUAAUGGUAUUAAUUUGGUACUAUAAAUCUUAGCAUUUUUUUCUAUAAAUUUGGUUAAAGUUGUAAAAGUUUGACUUAGGACAACUCUAGAAAUUGCAGCUUUCGGGGAUGGAGGGAGUACUUUAUAGGCAAGAGGCUGAUAGUUUGAGGGUUAAGCAAACAUUUUGCUUUUCUUCUAAAAUGAACUCAUUGCUGCCGCAAAAAUGGUUUCCCUUGCGGUAUUUUUUUACCAUUGGUGAUACUAAAAACUUGGUCAAUAGUUUUUUAAUGGUGUUGUGGAUAUAGGCUAGGCCUACACCUAUAUGCUUCAGAGGAUGUAGGUGAUACGUAGAGAGCCUUGGUCCUCAUGAUGCUGACAGAAUAUAUACAUAUGGAAAUUUUUCUAGGAUUAAUAUCUUAAUAAAUUAACAACUUUGCAAGAGCCCCACACAUUGAUAUAGAUACCAAGAUCAGUUUACAAUCUUGCUAAUUUUAAGCCCUAAAAAGGUUCCUUUUGGCACACAAGAUUUUUUUUUCUUUAAAAAUAAACUAAUUUCUACAAAAUUCCUAUCGAGUUCAUGGGUUCCAAAAAGGGAAAAAACUUGGGUGGGCGAUGGGCUCUCCGUGUCUUGCGUGCGCCCCCCACCUCGAUGCUUGCCGCGUGGACACGUUCUUCAUCCAACGACAGCAGCAAACGACGCGGCCUAAUUCCCAUCGGCUCCAUCAGCAGGCGGCUCGGCUCCAAAUGGAAUCAGUCGUCCUCCCAAACCACGCCCCAGCCGCCGCACUUCCUGCUCGCAACGAGCGCCCCUCCAGCUGCCGCCGCGCUCGUCAGAGACGCUCCUCCGGCGCCGCCGCAGUCCUGUCCCCCGUCCCGGCCUAGUCCUGGCUACCGAUGCCUCCCCAAUCGCCGAUGUCGUCUCGGCAGAGAGCCCUCACCGUCGGGAACUGCUCCGCCUCCCCGCCGCCGGAGCACCCGCGCCUGCGCCCUUCGCCGGCUGCGCGGCGCGGUCCGUGGGGUAUUCCGGGGAGGAGCUCCAUAGGUUGCCGUUCAUGGAGGAGCUCUACAGAGUUGUAUAUCUAAGGCAUUUGUGCCAGAAACAAAAGUGGGCGACUGGAGAUUCAUUUUCUCCAAGAUGCACUGAGGCCGAAGCAACACUGGCCAUCUCCAAGAUGCACUCAAAGCGUUGGAAGCAGCUGAAAUGCACAGCACCUCCCAUGUGCAACUAGAGGUGGUCUCAAGUGUAUGCCUAAAUGUUUCUCUUGUACCACGAUGUAUUAACUCGUCUGCGCGCGAGCUUGGUUGCUUAUGAGUAGUUGAUUCACAAGAAAUACAGAAAGGUUUAGGGUAUGGUGAUUCACAAGAGUAAUGUAAAAUGUGACUUCUCUAUGAAAUAUAUUUGAAUGUUUUGAGAUCA